rnacentral:rRNA from 1 species
UACGUAGGGUGCAAGCGUUAAUCGGAAUUACUGGGCGUAAAGCGUGCGCAGGCGGUGAUGUAAGACAGUUGUGAAAUCCCCGGGCUCAACCUGGGAACUGCAUCUGUGACUGCAUCGCUGGAGUGCGGCAGAGGGGGGAUGGAAUUCCGCGUGUAGCAGUGAAAUGCGUAGAUAUGCGGAGGAACACCGAUGGCGAAGGCAAUCCCCUGGGCCUGCACUGACGCUCAGUGCACGAAAGCGUGGGGAGCAAACAGG